UCAACUUUUUAAAAAUAAAAAUCAUCAAAGUAGAAAAUACAAGUUAUAUUUUUUUAAUCAAGUUUGUUAUUGUGACUAUGGACUCUAAAAAAAGACAGAAGUAUCAAAAAUGUAACGAGGAAGCUGUUAUGGUCGCUGUCGCUGAUGUUCAAGAAAAUCAUUUUUUAAGUAAAAGGCAAGUUUAAAAUGUACCUUCUCAGACAUUCGGUGAUAGAAUAAAUGGCAAAUACGGUGCCGCCAAGCAAAAGAUAGGUCGCGAACUUGCUUUAGAAAAAGAGGACAAAGAAAGAGUAAAAGACUUUUUGAAUAAAGCAGCAAAAGUAGGAUAUGGUAUUUGCCAAAACGAUGUACCAAGCAUAGUAAAAAAUUAUUUAGACAUUAAAGAAAAGCAGCAUAUAACAGAGCAUCAAGUUAACAAUAAAAAAAACAACCGAUAUGACAGCUCAUAGAAAGUUUGUGAAUAAUCUGCAAAGCAAGUUUUGGAUCUACAGGUUUUUCAGGUAUUCAGACCUUGCUAGAAGAAUGCCUGAAAAUUUGGGCCACCAGCGGCGAAACGUUUGAAACGACAAUGGGAAGGCUGAAAAUAAUAGUCUCAAAGGGUAUAAAGAAUGUUUAUCGCAUAGCCCCUGACACAAAAACGCCAAUAACAGUUCUUGGCUGUGCAUCCGGAAAUGAAAACUACUAAAAACCUCAAGUUAUAUUUCCAGGAGCACAGCCUCGUUACAAUUUAGACCAUGUAAAUCCAUCUGACUUAUGUUCUUCAAUUUAGACCACGUAAAUCCGUCUGACUGAGUUCAAUUCUUAAUUGUUUUUUAUUUUAUUGGUUUAUAAAAAUUUCUAAGUAUUUUUUAGUUUUCUCUUAAGCAUUAACGAAAGAUAUAUUUUCAGUGCCA